rnacentral:rRNA from 1 species
GAGGAAUAUUGGUCAAUGGGGGCAACCCUGAACCAGCCAAGUCGCGUGAAGGAUGAAGGUCUUAUGGAUUGUAAACUUCUUUUAUACAGGAAUAAAUUGGGGGACGUGUCCCCUUUUGCAUGUACUGUAUGAAUAAGGAUCGGCUAACUCCGUGCCAGCAGCCGCGGUAAUACGGAGGAUCCGAGCGUUAUCCGGAUUUAUUGGGUUUAAAGGGUGCGCAGGCGGGAUGUUAAGUCGGCGGUGAAAUUUUGCAGCUCAACUGUAAAAGUGCCUUCGAUACUGGCCUCCUUGAGUGUGGAUGAAGUAGGCGGAAUUUGUGGUGUAGCGGUGAAAUGCUUAGAUAUCACGAGGAACUCCGAUUGCGCAGGCAGCUUACUAAGCCACAACUGACGCUCAUGCACGAAGGCGUGGGGAUCAAACA